rnacentral:rRNA from 1 species
GUGCCAGCAGCCGCGGUAAUACGUAGGGGGCAAGCGUUGUCCGGAAUUAUUGGGCGUAAAGGGCGCGUAGGCGGAUAGUUAAGUCCGGUGUGAAAGAUCAGGGCUCAACCCUGAGAGUGCAUCGGAAACUGGUUAUCUUGAGGACAGGAGAGGAAAGUGGAAUUCCACGUGUAGCGGUGAAAUGCGUAGAUAUGUGGAGGAACACCAGUGGCGAAGGCGACUUUCUGGACUGUAACUGACGCUGAGGCGCGAAAGCGUGGGGAGCAAACAGGAUUAGAUACCCUAGUAGUCC